rnacentral:rRNA from 1 species
GUGAGGAAUAUUGGUCAAUGGGCGGAAGCCUGAACCAGCCAUCCCGCGUGGAGGAAGACGGCCCUAUGGGUUGUAAACUUCUUUUCAAGGGGAAGAAAGUUCGCGACGUGUCGCGAUUUGCCGGUACCUUUGGAAUAAGCAUCGGCUAACUCCGUGCCAGCAGCCGCGGUAAUACGGAGGAUGCGAGCGUUAUCCGGAUUUAUUGGGUUUAAAGGGUGCGUAGGCCGAUCGAUAAGUCAGCGGUGAAAUACCAUGGCCCAACCAUGGAACUGCCGUUGAUACUGUCGGUCUUGAAUAUGGUCAAGGUAGGCGGAAUGUGUAAUGUAGCGGUGAAAUGCUUAGAUAUUACACAGAACACCGAUUGCGAAGGCAGCUUACUGGUCCAUUAUUGACGCUGAGGCACGAAAGCGUGGGGAUCGAACAGGAUUAGAUACCCGUGUAGUCC